GAGGUAAACUCCCGGUUUUGUCUGUAAAGAGGAGUUUUAUUGUUCUAUAGUUCUAAAAAGUCGAAGGCUCUCCUUCGGUUUCAUCUUUUCUCCCCAGAGAAACUUUCCAAACACAUUUUACUGCUUAGUUUUUGUUUUUAGCCUUUAGCUACUAGCUUAGCGAUCCAUGACGGUAGCUGCUGUAAGUCAUGAGAUCAAGACGGAUGUUGUGAACAGAAUCCGGGAGGCUUUGAAAAAUAAAUUAUUUUUUGUGUCUGCGACCCAGUACCAAGUGGCCAGGAGAUUUUUGACAACUGAAAGCAAUGCACCCACGAGCUACGCUAAAGCUAACACAACAAGAUGGGCGGGGCUUCUAUACCAGAGCUCAGAGCUUGAUGACGUCAAACUUUUCUGCCUCUAGAAUUGUCAAACAUUUUUUUUGUGCAUUUCAAUUUAAAAUUCAAUUUUUGUUCAUUUUUUUCUGUGAAAGGAUGUGCGCUGUGAUGUGGAGAAGCGAGUUUACUUAUUCAUCAGGUUUUGGAGUUGUAGCAGACACGAGGUUUCUCUGGGAUGAUAAAUGGCAUUCAGACGACCAGGUGGACGGGGAAGGGGAGGAGGUAAAUAAUGUAACAGCCUGACAAACAAAGGAAGCUCUGUGAUGCAUUGUCUGAAUGUAAAGUCAAGCCACAGGUGUGAAUUUUUUUUAUUUUUUUAUAUUUUUUUUAUUCACAGUGGCAGAAACUUCCCCUCCGUCGAUGGUAGACUCCGUUGCAGCGAAAGUGACUGACAGGAUGAAGCAUUUAGGCAGGAUAGAAAAUAGAAUAAAUAAAUAUAUAAAGGAGAAAACAUAGUGGAAAUGUAACUCUAAUGCAGCGGGAGGACAUGGACAGGAAAGCUAUUAGGGCUAAGCGAGGGCCUGGGGUCCACUCAAGUUUUACUCUGGCUGCUCUGAGCAGCAGCCUGUGUAUCCCCGAUACAUUCUCUGACACACACUAAAGCCCUCACGCAUCUUCUCUACUUCCCAUCCCAGCUCCGUUCCAUCUGAACUCUUUCAGCGCUGAGCUGAGCAGACUCAAGGAAACGGUUCAUUUAAAUGUACAUAAUUUGCUCUUGGAAGCUCACUCUUGGUCUCACUGUUCCCCCGUGGCGCCACAGAGAAACAGCCCAGGAGAGAUAGACAUGGAGGAGAGAUUUUAUCCUUGAAGAAUCCAGUGGCCUGUAGAAGUGGAGAGAGCCAGAGUGAGAGCUUCAGACGUCUGUCCUUUAGCUAAUGGAGAUGAGGUGUGCAGCGGUCUGCAGCAGCUUCUCCACUGGAUAUGUGUUCGGACGCUUUAAGCUGAUGGGCCCACCAGGAAGAAGUGGAUCACUCUGCAUUUCAUUUGGGAAACUGCAGUCAGGCUGUGUGAGCAGAGAGAAUAUCGCACUUCACAUUUUUUUUCUCAGGCAAAAUGUGACAUUCUUUUGUUUACUGUGAUGUUUUUAAUUACUGUUUUUCCUGACAGAAUUUCAGUAAGAUAUGUGGGAGUGUUGUGUUCUUUUUUUUAUUGUAUUUAAAAAAAUAAAAAGAAAGGAAUGAGCAAUUUCCUGCCUCACAACAUAGUGCACUCUGAUGCUGCAAACAUCCUCAAUUAGCUGUUGCAAAAACAAUCUGGCCUUUGGUUGAGGCACUCUAGUUCUUGCCAAACUUUGCCGGCUGUCAUGGCAACAGGUGACACUCUGACAUUUUCAGUUGGGUGUGUUUAUCAACUCACUCCCUCCGUGCAAUGUGUGCCUCUGACAUUUUGGAACGAGGAAACCUGGCAGCGUGUGCAGACGCAGCUCUGCUGCUGGUUCAGACGCCUCGGUUUGUGUUAUUAUGUCCAGGUAAUGGACAGAAAAUGCUGCAUGUGCAUUCAUUACGUUUAAAUCACCUAUUGCCUUUAUUUCUCAGUUGUUGCUUCACUUUUUAUUUGAUUUGUUCAAUUUAGAAAAGUUCAGAUGUCAUUUAAUAACUUUGUGUGACUUUGUUUUGAUAAAAAAAAAAGUGUGCUUAAGCUUCAAGCCCAGUAAUUGAAAAUUAAAUAGAACAGUGAAGUUGUGAGUUGGUGGCUCAUGGCCUAAUUUGGCAGAUGGUUCAAUAAAUCCCUCCGUGGAGUCGUUC